GUAGUCUCGCACAGAUGCAUAUCAAUAAGCGGAGGAAAAGAAACUAACAAGGAUUCCCCUAGUAACGGCGAGUGAAGCGGGAAGAGCUCAAAUUUGAAAUCUUAAAGGGUUUCCCUUUACGAAUUGUAGUUUAAAGAGGUGUUUUCUGUUGAGGUUUUGGUAAAAGUUCUUUGGAAUAGGACAUCAUAGAGGGUGAGAAUCCCGUAUUUGACCUUUACUUUCAACUUUGUGAUACACUUUCAAAGAGUCGGAUUGUUUGGGAAUGCAGUCCAAAAUGGGUGGUAAAUUUCAUCUAAAGCUAAAUAUUGGCGAGAGACCGAUAGCGAACAAGUACCGUGAGGGAAAGAUGAAAAGAACUUUGAAAAGAGAGUUAAACAGUACGUGAAAUUGUCAAAAGGGAAGCGUUUGACACCAGUGUUGUUUUUCUGAAAAUCAAUUAAAGAACUGUUUAUGCUAAGCUGUUUAGACUUUAUCAGCUAAUCUGUUUAGUUUUGAGCUUUUCUUUAAUGCACUUUUCAGUUAACAAGUCAACAUCAAUUUCUUUUGCUGUAAAAAAGGCUUGAGGAAGGUGGCUUGAGAUUCGUCUUAAGUGUUUAUAGCCUCUUGCCUAUGCAGUCGGAGAGAUUGAGGUCUGCAGCGUAGAUCCUUCGGGGCUAAAUGCAUUUGUGCUAAGUUAUAGCAUUUCAUAGACAGCUUGUUGACUAUGAUUUGUCUUGUAGCUUACUCGCUUAUGUUAUUUUACCUACGCUUAGGAUGUUGAUCUGUAGUGCGUGCGC
rnacentral:rRNA from 1 species